rnacentral:rRNA from 1 species
CAGCUAGUUGGUAAGGUAACGGCUUACCAAGGCUACGAUGGGUAGGGGUCCUGAGAGGGAGAUCCCCCACACUGGUACUGAGACACGGACCAGACUCCUACGGGAGGCAGCAGUGAGGAAUAUUGGACAAUGGGCGCAAGCCUGAUCCAGCCAUGCCGCGUGCAGGAUGACGGUCCUAUGGAUUGUAAACUGCUUUUAUACGAGAAGAAACACUGAUUCGUGAAUCAGCUUGACGGUAUCGUAAGAAUAAGGAUCGGCUAACUCCGUGCCAGCAGCCGCGGUAAUACGGAGGAUCCAAGCGUUAUCCGGAAUCAUUGGGUUUAAAGGGUCCGUAGGCGGUUUAAUAAGUCAGUGGUGAAAGCCCAUCGCUCAACGGUGGAACGGCCAUUGAUACUGUUAGACUUGAAUUAUUAGGAAGUAACUAGAAUAUGUAGUGUAGCGGUGAAAUGCUUAGAGAUUACAUGGAAUACCAAUUGCGAAGGCAGGUUACUACUAAUGGAUUGACGCUGAUGGACGAAAGCGUGGGUAGCGAACAGGAUUAGAUACCCUGGUAGUCCACGCCGUAACGAUGGAUACUAGCUGUUGGAAGCAAUUUCAGUGGCUAAGCGAAAGUGAU